ACACGUAUCCAACUUUCCCUUACUCGGGUAUAGCCUCGGGGAAACUGAGAGUAAUCCCCGAUGUGGUGCACGGAAAGCAUUUUUGCGCACGAAAGAGUUUAUCGGUAAGGGUGGGGAUGCGUUCCAUUAGGUAGUAGGCGGGGUAACGGCCCACCUAGCCGAUGAUGGAUAGGGGUUCUGAGAGGAAGGUCCCCACAUUGGAACUGCGACACGGUCCAAACUCCUACGGGAGGCAGCAGUGAGGAAUAUUGGUCAAUGGGCGAGAGCCUGAACCAGCCAAGUAGCGUGCAGGAUGACGGCCCUAUGGGUUGUAAACUGCUUUUGUGCGGGAAUAACGGUCGACACGUGUGUUGAUGUGCAUGUACCGUACGAAUAAGGAUCGGCUAACUACGUGCC
rnacentral:rRNA from 1 species